rnacentral:rRNA from 1 species
GACGAACGCUGGCGGCGUGCUUAACACAUGCAAGUCGAACGGAAAGGCCCUGCUUUUGUGGGGUGCUCGAGUGGCGAACGGGUGAGUAACACGUGAGUAACCUGCCCUUGACUUUGGGAUAACUUCAGGAAACUGGGGCUAAUACCGGAUAGGAGCUCCUGCUGCAUGGUGGGGGUUGGAAAGUUUCGGCGGUUGGGGAUGGACUCGCGGCUUAUCAGCUUGUUGGUGGGGUAGUGGCUUACCAAGGCUUUGACGGGUAGCCGGCCUGAGAGGGUGACCGGCCACAGUGGGACUGAGAUACGGCCCAGACUCCUACGGGAGGCAGCAGUGGGGAAUAUUGCACAAUGGGCGGAAGCCUGAUGCAGCAACGCCGCGGGCGGGAUGACGGCCUUCGGGUUGUAAACCGCUUUCGCCUGUGACGAAGCGUGAGUGACGGUAAGGGGUAAAGAAGCACCGGCUAACUACGUGC